rnacentral:rRNA from 1 species
UACAGAGGGGGCAAGCGUUGUUCGGAAUUACUGGGCGUAAAGCGCGCGCAGGCGGUUUUCCAAGUCAGUGGUGAAAGCCCGGAGCUCAACUCCGGAACUGCCAUUGAAACUGUUAAACUUGAGGACGAGAGAGGUGAGUGGAAUUCCCAGUGUAGAGGUGAAAUUCGUAGAUAUUGGGAAGAACACCAGUGGCGAAGGCGGCUCACUGGCUCGUAUCUGACGCUCAGGCGCGAUAGCGUGGGGAUCAAACAGG